UAACAGGAAACAGCUUGCUGUUUCGCUGACGAGUGGCGGACGGGUGAGUAAUGUCUGGGAAACUGCCUGAUGGAGGGGGAUAACUACUGGAAACGGUAGCUAAUACCGCAUAACGUCGCAAGACCAAAGAGGGGGACCUUCGGGCCUCUUGCCAUCAGAUGUGCCCAGAUGGGAUUAGCUAGUAGGUGGGGUAACGGCUCACCUAGGCGACGAUCCCUAGCUGGUCUGAGAGGAUGACCAGCCACACUGGAACUGAGACACGGUCCAGACUCCUACGGGAGGCAGCAGUGGGGAAUAUUGCACAAUGGGCGCAAGCCUGAUGCAGCCAUGCCGCGUGUAUGAAGAAGGCCUUCGGGUUGUAAAGUACUUUCAGCGGGGAGGAAGGGAGUAAAGUUAAUACCUUUGCUCAUUGACGUUACCCGCAGAAGAAGCACCGGCUAACUCCGUGCCAGCAGCCGCGGUAAUACGGAGGGUGCAAGCGUUAAUCGGAAUUACUGGGCGUAAAGCGCACGCAGGCGGUUUGUUAAGUCAGAUGUGAAAUCCCCGGGCUCAACCUGGGAACUGCAUCUGAUACUGGCAAGCUUGAGUCUCGUAGAGGGGGGUAGAAUUCCAGGUGUAGCGGUGAAAUGCGUAGAGAUCUGGAGGAAUACCGGUGGCGAAGGCGGCCCCCUGGACGAAGACUGACGCUCAGGUGC
rnacentral:rRNA from 1 species